GAGAUGGAUUGAAAUUUGAGUUAAAUCGCUCAAUUUCUCUUCGCGAGGAGUUAAGCGAUUUCCGGGCUCAGGCUUUCUCCACACCGCGGCGUUCUGACUUGAAACCCCAGCGGCUCACUUUAUCCAGUUCCGCGAAGGAGGCUACAGGUGUCCUUUUUUCUAGUGCGCGUCGUGAUCUUUCUAGUUAGAUAGCUAGAAGCUUAGGGCCGUUUUCGUGUGGCGGCAGUAGUGUGCUCGCGUUGGAAAAACAGGUGUUUCGGCCACGCUACAGGCCCAAACCACUCGCCGUCACGCUGCGAAACGCCCCUGGAUCGACCCAGGACAUCACCAGCCCAGGCCCGGCAACGCUACGCCGGACGAACCGCGUACGUCACAACACGUGGUUCCGGAACUGACCGGCUUCCGCCGGAGAAGGACGGCAGCAACCGUCAACCAUCUGCGUCCACCACAUCGGCCACGCGCAACCGCAACCGAGCACGUGCGUCAGUAUCAGCGCGACCUCGCUGAGGUCCGAGCAGCGGCCCGCCUUCGAGUGGCGGCCACGAUAGGGUUCGGCGUGAAUUCACGUUGAACAGCAGCAACAUCAACAGCAGCAGGGAGUAGUCGUUUCAGCAUUCGCUGGCGGCGUUCGAGAUCCGGUAGGUGAAUCCACCGCGACCAGAGCAACAGGAGAGCACCAGGUAACAUCCGCAGCAGCAAACCGUCGAGUUCGGCGGCCACGUGAUCAACGCACUCAAAAAGGGACGUGAGUAGAACGCAUGUUUGAUUAAAGUGAUAAGUCCAUGGCCCACUUGCCCGCAACCUAGAGCCCCCAGGUGCGAGGCCGAUUACACGUCCUUUGACGUGCCCCAAAACCGUCCCGUCUGAGCACCCCUUGACUUAAACGCACACACCAACAUAGAGCGCAAAACAUAAGCACAAAGUAGAAACCCAAAACACACGACAGAUACCAGGCUAACAGGGAAAGGAAGAGGGGAGGACCGCCGGCAAAAACCGAAAAUGUGCACAAAACAAUGAAUGAACGUUCAACCACCAAUACAAAUGUAUCACACACUUCUGUAAAAUAAACACCCAACACCAACACCAAUGUCGACUUUAGUCUAGACACC